UCGAGAAUCUUCGGCAAUGGGCGAAAGCCUGACCGAGCGACGCCGCGUGCGGGAUGAAGGCCCUCGGGUUGUAAACCGCUGUCAGUGGGGAGGAAGGCUCUGUGAAGAGCAGGGUUUGACCUAUCCGCAGAGGAAGUCCGGGCUAAGUUCGUUCCAGCAGCCGCGGUAACACGAACCGGACAAACGUUAUUCGUAAUCACUGGGCUUAAAGUGUGCGUAGGCGGUCUGACAAGUUGAGUGUGAAAUCCCUCGGCUCAACCGAGGAAUAGCGCUCAAAACUGUUGGACUUGAGGGAGUUAGAGGUAAGCGGAACUUAGGGUGGAGCGGUGAAAUGCGUUGAUAUCCUAAGGAACACCAGUGGCGAAAGCGGCUUACUGGAGCUUUUCUGACGCUGAGGCACGAAAGACAGGGGAGCGAA
rnacentral:rRNA from 1 species